rnacentral:rRNA from 1 species
ACAGCAGUCGCCGCGGUAAUACGAAGGGGGCUAGCGUUGUUCGGAUUUACUGGGCGUAAAGCGCACGUAGGCGGAUCGAUCAGUCAGGGGUGAAAUCCCAGAGCUCAACUCUGGAACUGCCUUUGAUACUGUCGAUCUGGAGUAUGGAAGAGGUGAGUGGAAUUCCGAGUGUAGAGGUGAAAUUCGUAGAUAUUCGGAGGAACACCAGUGGCGAAGGCGGCUCACUGGUCCAUUACUGACGCUGAGGUGCGAAAGCGUGGGGAGCAAACAGGAUUAGAGACCCCUGUAGUCCCUGUCUCUUAUAC